GUUUUGCUUAAUGGUUGAGUACUAAGCUUGUAUCUGAGGGGCACGGGUUCGACUCCCGUAGC
rnacentral:tRNA from 1 species